UCGGGUUCGGCAGUUCGAAUCUGCCCCCCUCCAUUUAUUAUUUUUAAUAGGGGCAUAGUUCAACGGUAGAAUAGAG
rnacentral:tRNA from 1 species